GAUGAACGCUGGCGGCGUGCCUAAUACAUGCAAGUCGAGCGAACAGACGAGGAGCUUGCUCCUCUGACGUUAGCGGCGGACGGGUGAGUAACACGUGGAUAACCUACCUAUAAGACUGGGAUAACUUCGGGAAACCGGAGCUAAUACCGGAUAAUAUAUUGAACCGCAUGGUUCAAUAGUGAAAGACGGUUUUGCUGUCACUUAUAGAUGGAUCCGCGCCGCAUUAGCUAGUUGGUAAGGUAACGGCUUACCAAGGCAACGAUGCGUAGCCGACCUGAGAGGGUGAUCAGCCACACUGGAACUGAGACACGGUCCAGACUCCUACGGGAGGCAGCAGUAGGGAAUCUUCCGCAAUGGGCGAAAGCCUGACGGAGCAACGCCGCGUGAGUGAUGAAGGUCUUCGGAUCGUAAAACUCUGUUAUUAGGGAAGAACAAAUGUGUAAGUAACUAUGCACGUAUUGACGGUACCUAAUCAGAAAGCCACGGCUAACUACGUG
rnacentral:rRNA from 1 species